rnacentral:rRNA from 1 species
GACGAACGCUGGCGGCGUGCUUAACACAUGCCAGUCGAACGGUGAAGCGCCUUCCUUUUUGGUGGGUGUGGAUGAGUGGCGAACGGGCGAGUAACACGUGAGUAACCUGCCCCCUUCUUCUGGAUAACCGCAUGAAAGUGUGGCUAAUACGGGAUAUUCUGGGUCUGUCGCAUGAUGGGUCUGGGAAAGAUAUUGUUUCGGUGGGGGAUGGGCUCGCGGCCUAUCAGCUUGUUGGUGGGGUGAUGGCCUACCAAGGCGGUGACGGGUAGCCGGCCUGAGAGGGUGGACGGUCACACUGGGACUGAGACACGGCCCAGACUCCUACGGGAGGCAGCAGUGGGGAAUAUUGCACAAUGGGCGCAAGCCUGAUGCAGCGACGCCGCGUGAGGGAUGGAGGCCUUCGGGUUGUGAACCUCUUUCGCCAGUGAAGCAGGCCUGCCUCGUUUGUGGGUGGGUUGACGGUAGCUGGAUAAGAAGCGCCGGCUAACUACGUG